rnacentral:rRNA from 1 species
AACGAACGCUGGCGGCAUGCCUAACACAUGCAAGUCGAACGGGAUCCUAGCUUGCUAGGUGAGAGUGGCGGACGGGUGAGUAACACGUGGGAAUCUGCCUUUUGGUUCGGGAUAACCGCGGGAAACUGCGGCUAAUACCGAAUGCCCUCGAGAGAGGAAAGAUUUAUCGCCAGAAGAGGAGCCCGCGUCCGAUUAGGUAGUUGGUGGGGUAAAGGCCUACCAAGCCGACGAUCGGUAGCUGGUCUGAGAGGAUGAUCAGCCACACUGGGACUGAGAUACGGCCCAGACUCCUACGGGAGGCAGCAGUGGGGAAUAUUGGUCAAUGGGGGCAACCCUGAUCCAGCAAUGCCGCGUGAGUGAUGAAGGCCUUAGGGUUGUAAAGCUCUUUUGCCAGGGAAGAUGAUGACUGUACCUGGAGAAUAAGCCCCGGCUAACUUCGUGCCAGCAGCCGCGGUAAU